CAACAAUUUUUAAUCAUUUUUAAAUAAAUAUUUAAGAUCUUAAAAUAAAGUUUAUUUUUCUAAACCAAUUAAUGAGUAUACAUUUUUCAGUUAUUGUUUUGGAAAAAUUUUACUUUUACACUUUGUUUGAUACCAGUUUUCAAGUUUACCACAAGUCUAGGGACAUUUUCAUAAAUACCAUGUUCAUUAAUGCACAAAAGACAAUAGUAUCCUUCCCUUAUCUUCAGCAAUUUUCAUCGUCGUCUUCAUCUAACCUAGCCGUCGACGUCUUUAUCCAGCCUCGCUGUUGUCGUCUUCAUCCAGCUUCGAUGUCUCGUCUUCGUCGUGAUCCAUCGUUGUCUUUGAUCGAGAUCCAUCGUCGAUCCGUCGGGAUCCAUCGUCGAUCCGUCGUCGUCUCCGUCGAGAUCCAUCGUCACUCUCUCUCACACAGCCGGCAACGAGAGAUUACGAGAAUCACUUUGUCUUGCGUAUCUUAACUCUGUUUUCGCGACGUUCUCGAUGGCUUGGGCUGCAGAUCUAGUUUGAGAGAGUAUAUUUGUGUGGUUAAAGGUUCAGAUCGAUCCUCGUUUGCUCUCAUUGGGUUCGAGAACCGGCGAAUUGAGGUGAUGUUGGCUUCAGACUCGAGAACCGGCAAAUUUUUAGUAUCAGCAGACGUUCUGCAAGGAUUGCUUACUGUGGUCUCUUCGCACUUUCCUUAAUCAUAUCAUGGAUUCUCCGUGAGGUUGCUGCUCCUCUCAUGGAGAAGCUUCCUUGGAUUAACCAUUUUCACAAUACACCUGAUCGGGAAUGGUUUGAGACUGAUGCUGUCUUGCGUGUCAGCUUAGGGAACUUCGUGUUUUUCUCGAUUUUAUAGGUUAUGAUGAUUGGUGUGAAGACUCAGAAAGACCCUCGUGAUGGCAUACACCACGGUGGUUGGAUGAUGAAAGUCAUAUGAACAACUGAUUUUGGGUCUUCUUAGAGUUAUAUAAUUUGGUUGCGAGGUCUUUCGAGUCCCUCCAAGCUUGAAGCCCCUUUAGUCUUUCCUCAAAUGCAGCCAUCACAGCUGGCCUGUGCUUGCUUCUUAGUUCCUGCAAUCUACUUUCGUUUAAAUCUUGGUAACCCAUGCAAGCAGUGAAAACUAGCUGGCUGCUAUAAAACGUUGAGCCAAUCAUUGAUUGAAGCAAAGUAAUCGCAUCUCCAGCGUCCUUGGUUGUAAUUAGUGUAGGACCUGUGUUUACUGGGUUUGUUUAGUAAGUCCAUAAGACUUAAUCACAUUAUAUAUCAAUAUGGACACUGACUGAGGUUUAACCGAGUACCAUAAAACUCCAAGUGCUGUUCUGUAAA